rnacentral:rRNA from 1 species
AGUGAACGCUGGCGGUAGGCCUAACACAUGCAAGUCGAACGGCAGCACAGUAAGAGCUUGCUCUUACGGGUGGCGAGUGGCGGACGGGUGAGGAAUACAUCGGAAUCUACUUUUUCGUGGGGGAUAACGUAGGGAAACUUACGCUAAUACCGCAUACGACCUACGGGUGAAAGCAGGGGAUCUUCGGACCUUGCGCGAUUGAAUGAGCCGAUGUCGGAUUAGCUAGUUGGCGGGGUAAAGGCCCACCAAGGCGACGAUCCGUAGCUGGUCUGAGAGGAUGAUCAGCCACCCUGGAACUGAGACACGGUCCAGACUCCUACGGGAGGCAGCAGUGGGGAAUAUUGGACAAUGGGCGCAAGCCUGAUCCAGCCAUACCGCGUGGGUGAAGAAGACCUUCGGGUUGUAAAGCCCUUUUGUUGGGAAAGAAAAGCAGCAGGUUAAUACCCCGCUGUUCUGACGGUACCCAAAGAAUAAGCACCGGCUAACUUCGUG